CAGGCACCUCUCUCUUCCCUUCUGCUGGAAACCCUUCCUGUGAGCUGAACUCCUGGCUUCCCAAGGAGCCCGAGGAGAGAGGCCUUUUGCCAGCACCGUCCACAGUAAUGGGGGGAACAGAGCUGUAGCCCCCAACGGGUCAGAAACGGAGCAGAGUGAGCGGCUUCCGGGUGAUGGGUCCUGGGACUGGCCGCGCUCCCUGCAGUGGGCUGGCUUAAUGCAGGCCCUCCACUCCACCUGGUGGUUCUGGGAAACUGGGACGUUGGGGUUUCGAAUAAUCCUAUGUGCUUUUGCUGCAGAGAGUUUCCUAGAAUCUAAGAAUGUCCAUGUUGGAAGCGAACUCACUGUGGAGUCCUGUUCCAUCCUCCGCUUUCUAACAACCCACCAGGUGACUUUGCCUGUGGUUACAUUCCACCAGUGACAGGGACCUCAUUGUGUCCCAAAGCAUCUAUUGCAUGUUUGGAUGACUCUGAGUACAGAACUCUCCUCUAAUAUUGAGUCAAAACCUGCCUUUGUUUAUCUUCAAGUUUCUGUCUUGAGGUCACUUGUUACAGAGAUGAUUCCUUGUCCACUCAAGGGCCCUUCAAGAUGGAUUUAGGGCAGAGCAGAGAGAAACAUCAGUGCCUGGCUUAGCUGUUCUUUGCUCUUCCUAAAAGCCCCGAUUCCACCCAUCCCCCAUAGUUUCCUGGGUCACAUGCCAGCCUUUACUGUCUCUGAUUCAUCUCACCUGGUACUGUCCCAAUGGCUGGAGAUGUUGGAUAUCACAUUUCCUGGGGGUGGUGAGCACCAACCUACCCCACCCCCAAUCUCCUGGGAAAGGAGUGUCUCAGGAGUUGGGCACACUCACCCUGCUGGGCACUUUCUUGAUCAAUAGACUUCCCCAGUGCUGUUGGUGGCAGUGUUCUGGUCCACAUGGUUACCGACCACACAAGUGAUGCAGAUGUUGGGCUGGCUCAGGGGCAGCCUCACAGCUGGGGCUCAGGUGCAGGGGCUGGUUUUCAUGUCCUUGGCUUUUCUCUUACAUUUAUAAAUGAGCCAAGCAGCUCUGUGGGCAUCAGGCUCCAAUUUAGGGUGAGGACAGGGAGCUGGCUUUUACGCUGGGGAACCCCUAAAUGUCAGAAUGGGGUGGGCUUUCCUGAGGCUCCUGUGCCCACACAAGCUGCCCGAGUUCUCUCCAGACAGCGUAUUCAGAGUUUCUUGGCUUUGGUUUUGGUUUUGUAAGAGCUCUCCUUUGUUGAUGUCUGAGAAUGAAAUGCCUGGCUCCAUGACGGUCCACACCUGGAGCUGGACAGAGGGUUGGAGGUUGACUAUUCCAUGCACAGACCUCCUAGUAUUCUCCGUGUUUCAGCCCCAUUCUCACCCCACCCUCCAUCCUACCUGGGCCUGUGAGUUCAAAACCCCUGUGGGUUCCUCUGGGCGUACAUCUCCAUCCCCUUCUGUGCCCCUCUGUUUGUAUCCCAGGUCAGUGGUUCUCAAACGUGGCUGCACAUUGGGCUCAAAGGGGCCAUUGAAAAAAUACUGUUUCUGGGCACUAGCCCAGAGAUGCUGACGUCAUUGGUCUGGGGUCUGGCUCUGCCCUGCUAGGCUGCCCUCUUCCUUCUCGCUCUGAAACUCCAGGCAUCUCAGGUCUGCCGAUUAGUUAUUCCUGUCUCUCGUUGAUGCUGUGAUUUAUACGCAAUCAAAAUAGAUUUAGUAUGGUUUUAACGUUCUGCGGAAGGGGAGGAAACACAUGCGUCUACCUUGUUCAUGAACAUCUUGAACAAGAAGUGCAAACCUAAUUUCCAUGACCGUGUCCAACUUAUUCUCCAGCCCCUCCUUCUCUGUGCUCUGUAACUUAGCAGAUGCAAACCAACCAGCAAACUCCAAAAGCAUUCCCUUUCACCCGUCCACAUGCUGCUCCUUCCCGCAUCUGUAACGUCACUUGUGCUGCUCCCCUGGUGAUUUCCAAGCUCAGAGAUAAGCUGUGGCUGGUUUUGGAUCAGCUCUCAGGGGUGCCAGGGCUCCUGGUUAGACUCUGCUCCCUCCUGACCUCCCCUCUGGUGUGAGAUGGCUCCAACAGUUUCCAGCACCACAUUCUCACACAGCCACAUUCAGAGGCGGGAGCCAGGGGCAGCGUGGAGCGGGAGCUUCUCCUCAGCCUCCUUCCUCUUGUCAGGGUGGAAGUCAUUCUCAGGAGCCCCCAAUAAACUUUUCUUACAUAUAAUUGGCCAGAACAGGGUCACAUGCCCACCGUGAGGUCAGGGGAAUCCCCCCACCCCACCCCUGAUACCCGGUCUCUCACUUGACAGCUGAACCAAGCAGGGUUCUGUUGGUGAGAAGAGGGGUGGCUUGAGGGAGGAAGCGGAUGAUGUUGGUCAUGGUAGUUUUUCCUCUCCAUUCCUUCUCUCUUCUUGGAGGACACUAGUUAUCCAUACGUUUGAUCUCCAUUGUCAGUCCAUAUUGCUCUUCUUCGCUCUAAUUGCUUCCCUCUUAUUUUUUAUAUUAUUUUCUUAUCCUGUCUUCCACAUCAUUGAUAUGGUUCCCUGUACUGUUGAUUCUAGUCUCUGCAUUUUUAAAUCUGCAAAAAGAAUUACUUUUCCCUUUGAUUGUUUUCUUUGCCCCUCCCCCAAUCAUAUUCUGAUAUCUUAGUUCAUCUUUCAUCUCUGGUUCCGUCAGUCUUUUGAAAACUGUUCUUCCUUUCCUUUAUUUUGGAGGAUGAAUUAUUUGUGUAGGUCUUAUUUUUUGCUUUUCCGCUUUUUCAUCUUUGACUGCGGUCUUCUACUUAUUUUGCUCUUUGCCUCUGCAAACGUGUGUUUGGAUUCCUUUUGACUUUGUUUUCUAUCAGGACACUGAACUCCCAGCACAAGAGUCAGAGAACUAGACAUAAUGGCUGUAUUCUUUGUUUGGUCACAGUGGCCUGGGCAGUGUAGGAAGAGAGCAGGAACUUUGGGCAACAAGAGUUUGAGAACCCCGUCUGCUCCAUCUGCUCCAGUUCUGUGAAAACCACAUGGAGACCGUCUCCGCUGAGUGGAGUAUUCCUGUUCCUCGAGGAAUGCCCUCUGGGAUUCCAGUCCUUUUCUCCUCCUCCUGUCAGCGUGGGCCAGCCAUGUGGCGUGACAUCCUUGUGGCUCCUGGGCCUCCCCCAACCCCGCCCCUCUUGCUCUUUUGUCUGCUGUCUUUCCUGUCUGGGUCCAUUGCUUCUAGAAUGGUGUUUCCCAAACUUGUGUGCAGGGUAGCCUCAGGGGCCUGCAAGUGCUCCGUUAGAAUGUUUAUAUUUCAUGCUUUCAUUUUGAUGAUAACCUGAACAUUAACAUGUGCAUGUUCUGGAUCCUGCAGUGACCACAUUAUAACAGGCAUUUUUGGGGCUCUGCUUGCUUUCGUGUUAAAGCAUCUUCAUAGGCGGAGCAGAUGACGACACAGAUGGUGGUCCUGAUGGGGACUGUCCAGUGCGUGGUUCACGUAGAGGAGACAGUUGGGAGGAUCGGUCAUCAGGGAGCUGAGUAGAGAAAAAUCAAACAUUGUUUCAGGUGCUUUUAGGAGGAAACAGUGGAAUCCUGUCAAUGAAAAAGACAGAAAUCUUCAAAAGCUGUUAAACCAGACUAUCCAGUACGAAUUGCUUUAAGCUUUAUACAUAGUUAAAAGAAAGAAGGUUCUGGUAAAUGGAUAGAUUUGACCACUUUGAUGGCUUGAUCAUUCACUGAAUUGGCCUCUAAUUGGCCCACAGCUCUUCUCAAACAGGCACGUCAAGCUCCAAAGUUCCUGCUCUGUAGCGGUCAGUGGCGUAUCUGCCCUGCACGCAGAGGUGUGAGAUUCCGUCUUUGUAGUAACAACUUUCCAAAGUUCAUUCGCGGUAAUGCAGUAAAUACCCGCUAUGGUAGCAAACAUCCAAAGAAGAAUUUUU
ensembl:lncRNA